rnacentral:rRNA from 1 species
UGUAAGCGUAUACCAAAGUUGUUGCAGUUAAAACGCUCGUAGUCGGAAUUUGGCAGUUCCGGAAGUGUGCACGUCGUGUGCGCACUUUGCGGGGACUGCUUUUGUGGUCUUGCGUAGGAUGAGGCACUUUCAUUAGUGAACGUCCUCACGCAACCACUCUUUACGGUGAGAAAAUCAGAGUGCUCAAAGCAGGCAUUUGCCGUGAAUGUAUUAGCAUGGAAUAAUAGAAUAGGACUCGGUUCUAUUUUGUUGGUUUGUUGGGACUGAGUAAUGAUUAAGAGGGACAGUUGGGGGCAUUUGUAUUCCGGCGCUAGAGGUGAAAUUCUUAGAUUGCCGGAAGACAAACUGCUGCGAAAGCGUCUGCCAAGGAUGUUUUCAUUGA